rnacentral:rRNA from 1 species
UACGUAGGGUGCAAGCGUUAAUCGGAAUUACUGGGCGUAAAGCGUGCGCAGGCGGUUGUGUAAGACAGAUGUGAAAUCCCCGGGCUCAACCUGGGAACUGCAUUUGUGACUGCACGGCUGGAGUGCGGCAGAGAGGGAUGGAAUUCCGCGUGUAGCAGUGAAAUGCGUAGAUAUGCGGAGGAACACCGAUGGCGAAGGCAAUCCCCUGGGCCUGCACUGACGCUCAUGCACGAAAGCGUGGGGAGCAAACAGG